rnacentral:rRNA from 1 species
GAUGAACGCUGGCGGCGUGCCUAAUACAUGCAAGUCGAGCGAAGCGGGGACGGGUGAGUAACACGUAGAUAACCUCCUAUAAGACUGGGAUAACUUCGGGAAACCGGAGCUAAACCGGAUGCUUAUAGAUGGAUCCGAACUUCAUUAGAUAGUUUGUAAGGUAACGGCUUACCAAGGCAACGAUGCAUAGCCGACCUGAUCUGGGGAUCGGCCACACCGGAACUGAUAAACGGUCCAGGCUACUACGGUAGGCAGCAGUAGAGAAUCUUCAGCAAUGGGCGAAAGCCUGACGGAGCAACGCAGAGUGAGUGAUGAAGGUCUUCGGAUCGUAAAACUCUGUUAUUAGGGAAGCGGUACCUAAUCAGAAAGCCACGGCUAACUACGUGUGAGCAGCCGCGGUAAUAC